UACAGAGGGUGCGAGCGUUAAUCGGAAUUACUGGGCGUAAAGCGUGCGCAGACGGUCACGUAAGUCGGGUGUGAAAGCCCCGGGCUCAACCUGGGAAUUGCAUUCGAGACUGCGUGGCUAGGGUGCGGAAGAGGGAAGCGGAAUUUCCGGUGUAGCGGUGAAAUGCGUAGAUAUCGGAAGGAACACCAGUGGCGAAAGCGGCUUCCUGGUCCAGCACCGACGUCAGGCACGAAGCGUGGGGAGCAAACAGGA
rnacentral:rRNA from 1 species